rnacentral:rRNA from 11 species
UGUAUAAUGGGUCAGCGACUUAUGUUCAGUGGCGAGGUUAACCGUUUAGGGGAGCCGUAGGGAAACCGAGUCUGAAUAGGGCGAUUUAGUCGCUGGGCAUAGACCCGAAACCGGGCGAUCUAUCCAUGAGCAGGUUGAAGGUGCCGUAACAGGCACUGGAGGACCGAACCCACUGUCGUUGAAAAGCCAGGGGAUGACUUGUGGAUCGGAGUGAAAGGCUAAUCAAGCCCGGAGAUAGCUGGUUCUCCCCGAAAGCUAUUUAGGUAGCGCCUCGGACGAAUACCACAGGGGGUAGAGCACUGUUUCGGCUAGGGGGUCAUCCCGACUUACCAAACCGAUGCAAACUCCGAAUACCAAUGAGUACUAUCCGGGAGACAGACUGCGGGUGCUAACGUCCGUAGUCAAGAGGAAAACAAUCCAGACCGCCAGCUAAGGCCCCAAAAUUAUAGUUAAGUGGGAAACGAUGUGGGAAGGCACAGACAGCUAGGAGGUUGGCUU